rnacentral:misc_RNA from 1 species
UAGGGACCGGUACCGUACG